UAGCUCAAUGGUUAAGUGCUUGGCUGCUAACCAAAAGGCUGGUGGUUUGAACCCACU
rnacentral:tRNA from 1 species